GCCAUAGGCUACUUCAGUAAAGAGAACAUACAGGGAUAAGCAGUCAAUAACGGUUGUUUAUUCAAGUCCUUUGUUGAAACAUAAGUUAACAGAAACUGUUAGUAAGACUAAUAUUAACCAGUGACUGUGUAAAAAGGCGUGUCAAGGCAUUUCUUUCAUGUGUUUUUGUGUGGGAUUGCCAGACUAUGUAAAAUGCAACUUCCACAAGAGAGCUGCCAUUCUCAUGUUGACAAUGGAAACUCUUUAAGACUAUUUGAAGUUUUACUUCCAAAGCACAUCCAUCCACUUCGCCUCCCAGAAAAACAUUCACCUGUUAAAGACUAAGGGAUAUGGGUGUUCUAAACAAAAUGUCUUUCUGACCAUUUCUACACAGUACUGACACAUUACUGAAAUGAUGCCUAGUGACAAAGUCAUCAAUAAUACAUGAAGAAUCAGUUGGAACAGAACAGGGGGUUAUUAGUUAUUACAGCAGCCCAGGAAGGAGGUACGUUUUAUUACAGCAGCCCAGGAAGGAGGUAUGUUUUAUUACAGCAGCCCAGGAAGGAGGUAUGUUUUAUUACAGCAGCCCAGGAAGGAGGUAUGUUUUAUUACAGCAGCCCAGGAAGGAGGUAUGUUUUAUUACAGCAGCCCAGGAAGGAGGUACGUUUUAUUACAGCAGCCCAGGAAGGAGGUAUGUUUUAUUACAGCAGCCCAGGAAGGAGGUAUGUUUUAUUACAGCAGCCCAGGAAGGAGGUAUGUUUUAUUACAGCAGCCCAGGAAGGAGGUAUGUUUUAUUACAGCAGCCCAGGAAGGAGGUAUGUUUUAUUACAGCAGCCCAGGAAGGAGGUACGUUUUAUUACAGCAGCCCAGGAAGGAGGUACGUUUUAUUACAGCAGCCCAGGAAGGAGGUACGUUUUAUUACAGCAGCCCAGGAAGGAGGUACGUUUUAUUACAGCAGCCCAGGAAGGAGGUAUGUUUUAUUACAGCAGCCCAGGAAGGAGGUACGUUUUAUUACAGCAGCCCAGGAAGGAGGUAUGUUUUAUUACAGCAGCCCAGGAAGGAGGUACGUUUUAUUACAGCAGCCCAGGAAGGAGGUACGUUUUAUUACAGCAGCCCAGGAA
rnacentral:lncRNA from 1 species